UACACUCCUACGGGAGGCAGCAGUGGGGAAUUUUGGACAAUGGGCGAAAGCCUGAUCCAGCAAUGCCGCGUGCAGGAUGAAGGCCUUCGGGUUGUAAACUGCUUUUGUACGGAACGAAAAAGCUCCUUCUAAUACAGGGGGCCCAUGACGGUACCGUAAGAAUAAGCACCGGCUAACUACGUGCCAGCAGCCGCGGUAAUACGUAGGGUGCGAGCGUUAAUCGGAAUUACUGGGCGUAAAGCGUGCGCAGGCGGUUAUGUAAGACAGAUGUGAAAUCCCCGGGCUCAACCAGGGAACUGCAUUUGUGACUGCAUGGCUAGAGUACGGUAGAGGGGGAUGGAAUUCCGCGUGUAGCAGUGAAAUGCGUAGAUAUGCGGAGGAACACCGAUGGCGAAGGCAAUCCCCUGGACCUGUACUGACGCUCAUGCACGAAAGCGUGGGGAGCAAACAGGAUUAGAUACCCCAGUAGUCCCAUGA
rnacentral:rRNA from 1 species